rnacentral:rRNA from 1 species
UACGUAGGGUGCGAGCGUUUAAUCGGAAUUACUGGGCGUAAAGCGUGCGUAGGCGGUUCGCUGUGUCCGAUGUGAAAGCCCCGGGCUUAACCUGGGAAUGGCAUUGGAAACUGGCGGGCUUGAGUGCGGCAGAGGGGGGUGGAAUUCCGCGUGUAGCAGUGAAAAUGCGUAGAGAUGCGGAGGAACACCGAUGGCGAAGGCAGCCCCCUGGGUCGACACUGACGCUCAGGCACGAAAGCGUGGGGAGCAAACAGG